rnacentral:rRNA from 1 species
CCUACGGGAGGCAGCAGUGGGGAAUAUUGGGCAAUGGGCGCAAGCCUGACCCAGCAACGCCGCGUGAAGGAAGAAGGCUUUCGGGUUGUAAACUUCUUUUCUGAGGGACGAAGAAAGUGACGGUACCUCAGGAAUAAGCCACGGCUAACUACGUGCCAGCAGCCGCGGUAAUACGUAGGUGGCAAGCGUUAUCCGGAUUUAUGGGGUGUAAAGGGCGUGUAGGCGGGAAAGCAAGUCAGAUGUGAAAACUCAGGGCUCAACCCUGAGCCUGCAUUGGAAACUGUUUUUCUUGAGUGCUGGGGAGGCAAUCGGAAUUCCGUGUGUAGCGGUGACAUGCGUAGAUAUCCGGAGGCACACCAGUGGCGAAGGCGGCUUGCUGGACAGUAACUGACGCUGCGGCGC